AAUGUAAAUGUUAAAUGUAAAUGUAAAUCUAAAUGUUCCGCCUAAAUGUUAAAUAUAAAUGUUGACUGUAAAUGUUUGGGAAAUAUGCUAAUGAGGCCACGCCCCUCACCGAAUAGAGCGGUCCUUGUUCAGACGAAAGUUGAACCUUAAUCAUGGCAAACUCUUUGAGACCUGAGGAUAUUGAAAGGGCCGUUGUUUCAGGAGUGCGAGCUGCAUUGCAAGGUGUCCUGGCACCUACACCUGCUGCUGCAAAUCUGGUUAACACAUCAUCACCAUCCACAAGUUCUGCCGCUUCACACAGACCGGUCAACACUCUGCCGCCACCCAUAGCAUCCACAAGUUCAGCCACAUCUGCAGGGGCUGGCACAUCCCAGAGAUUGGUAAGAAC